rnacentral:lncRNA from 1 species
UAAUUUACUCCAUGCUUCAGAGCCACUCCUGGAUCUCACAGCAGAGCACUGUUUGGCAAUAAUUUAUUGUCAUGGUUUGUAUCACAGUGAUUAAGGGGAGCUGUCAUUUCUUGGCAGCCAUGAUUUGAAUUUUGGGAUUAGCUGCCCAGGGGACAGUUUGGAACUGACACUGAUGUGUUUAUUUUUGCUUCCUUGUGUAGAAGUUGUAAUUUAAUUUGCUCCUGUUGGAACAGCAGGUGCUUUGGGUGGAAGUCGUAUGGGUAUGACUGUAUGUAAUGAUUGGUGACACUAGUGUUACCAGUUUCCAGUGCUGGCUUUUUUAGAGUGUGGGGAGAUAGGCUUAAUUACACGAAUGUCCUGUUUCAUUGGUCUCUGUCCGUGCAAGAUACAAUUGUAUUCACACUUACUAGUAGCAAUCUUUCACAUUAAUACUAGUACUAGAUUAGUGCUGAUGUGACUGUGAAUUUGUUUAAUUCCAUACAAAUGCAUCACCUGUUAAUGCUGAAUUAUACAUUGGUUGUCUAGCAGUGAGAAAGGUCAAAGAGUUUGAAAGGCUCUCCCUGGUUGUUUUUUUUGUUUCUUGGGGAUUUUUAAAGCAUCUCUAACUUUUAUUUUUUAAAAUUUCAAUUUAAAGAUAGCAGAGACAUUUAUUCUUUUUUCUUUCAGAAAAUCAGUGUAGUGUAACUCUCUGUUUUGGACCCAUUCCAUGUAAAUGAAUAUCAGCCUUCAUAAAUAACUUCUCACCUAGGUUUUCCUGUGUUUGGGGGAGUUGUACAGCAAAUGACUGCACUGAAAGUGUAAAAUCCAUUUCCUGGUUUGGCUUGGGGGGGUGUUUGUCUGGGUUUUUUUUGGUGCUUUUUAAUCUUGUAAUAAGGAUUUUAUUAUUAUUUUCCUGUGUUUAGGUAAUUCCUUCUGCUGGCCUUUGUAUGUGGACCACAUUCAGUCCUGUUCAGCCCAUAUAAAUUGUAACUUAAAUGUAGAUAUGACUGGUUCAAGUUCUUCACAAGAAUCUUCUGAAACAAACUUCUGUUGUAUGAAAGUGAAGGCUGAGACAGCAAACAGUAAGCUUUUAGAAGAAGCAUACCCAAACUGAAAGUUGCAAAUUAAAGAUUAAGUAUUUCUAACAGCAUCUGUUUUAGACUUCUGUACUUUCUCAGCUGCUUUAUUUUCCCAUUAUGACUUGGACUUUAAGUCAGCAAUUUAUCCAUCAAAACAAACUGUCUAGUUCAUGAACAAACUGUCUAGCUUACAAAGGAGCUGGAGCCAAUUCCCACUAGAGCCAGUGGAAGAGUUUUCAUUGAGUUCAGUGGAUUUGGUAUCUGGCAACCUUUGUUGUGAAUAAAAGAGAACCAAAAUUUGUGACA